UCCGUAGGUGAACCUGCCGACCCUUUGUGUACCUACCUCUGUUGCUUUGGCGGGCCGCGGUMCUCMKSKGCCGCCCCCCKCUCCCGGGGGGGUGGCCAGCGCCCGCCAGAGGACCAUCAAACUCCAGUCAGUAAACGAUGCAGUCUGAAAAACAUUUAAUAAACUAAAACUUUCAACAACGGAUCUCUUGGUUCUGGCAUCGAUGAAGAACGCAGCGAAAUGCGAUAAGUAAUGUGAAUUGCAGAAUUCAGUGAAUCAUCGAAUCUUUGAACGCACAUUGCGCCCUUUGGUAUUCCGAAGGGCAUGCCUGUUCGAGCGUCAUUACAACCCUCAAGCUCUGCUUGGUAUUGGGCACCGUCCUUUGCGGGCGCGCCUCAAAGACCUCGGCGGUGGCGUCUUGCCUCAAGCGUAGUAGAACAUACAUCUCGCUUCGGAGCGCAGGGCGUCGCCCGCCGGACGAACCUUCUGAACUUUUCUCAAGGUUGACCUCGGAUCAGGUAGGGAUACCCGCUGAACUUAAGCAUAUCAAUAAGCGGAGGA
rnacentral:rRNA from 1 species